rnacentral:rRNA from 1 species
UACGAAGGGGGCUAGCGUUGCUCGGAAUCACUGGGCGUAAAGCGCACGUAGGCGGAUUGUUAAGUCGGGGGUGAAAUCCUGGAGCUCAACUCCAGAACUGCCCCUUGAUACUGGCGGUCUCGAGUCCGGGAGAGGUGAGUGGAACUGCGAGUGUAGAGGUGAAAUUCGUAGAUAUUCGCAAGAACACCAGUGGCGAAGGCGGCUCACUGGCCCGGUACUGACGCUGACGGUGCGAAAGCGUGGGGAGCAAAGCAGGAUUAAGAAACCCGGGUGAG